GGGCGGUUAACUCAGUGGGAGAGUGCCACCUUCACACGGUGGAAGUCACUGGUUCAAAUCCAGUAUCGCCCACCA
rnacentral:tRNA from 1 species